rnacentral:rRNA from 1 species
CCUACGGGAGGCAGCAGUGGGGAAUCUUGCGCAAUGGGCGAAAGCCUGACGCAGCAACGCCGCGUGCGGGAAGAAGGCCUUCGGGUUGUAAACCGCUUUCAGCAGGAACGAAAAUGACGGUACCUGCAGAAGAAGGUGCGGCCAACUAUGUGCCAGCAGCCGCGGUGAUACAUAGGCACCAAGCGUUGUCCGGAUUUAUUGGGCGUAAAGAGCUCGUAGGCGGUUCAGUCAGUCGGGUGUGAAAACUCUGGGCUUAACCCAGAGCCUGCACCCGAUACUGCUGUGACUAGAGUUCGGUAGGGGAGCGGGGAAUUCCUGGUGUAGCGGUGAAAUGCGCAGAUAUCAGGAGGAACACCGAUGGCGAAGGCACCGCUCUGGGCCGAAACUGACGCUGAGGAGCGAAAGCAUGGGUAGCAAACAGGAUUAGAUACCCUGGUAGUCCAUGCCGUAAACGUUGGGCACUAGGUGUGGGUUCCAAUCAACGGAAUCCGCGCCGUCGCUAACGCAUUAAGUGCCCCGCCUGGGGAGUACGGUCGCAAGCUAAAACNCAAAGGAAUUGACGG